UUGCUUCACUGUCAAGUAUCACGCAAGGGUAGAGUGGCAACUGAAGACAUGAAGACAGGUCAACCAAGCACAUUCCAUCACAUACAUGUAGAAAGCAGAGAUUCUAAGAUUUUCAGUUCUACCCAAAUAGGAAAAUUCUGUACAAUGUACACACAACAUGAAGGUUCUUAACAAACUUAGCAAACUGCCUGACAAGAACAACAAGAUUCCCCACUAAAUUGAAAAGGAGAUUAAGAUUUUCCCUAAUGACAAUGGAAGGAACCUAGAACAGGAAGCAAGAAGAGAUGGAACACUGCAUCUGUUGCUGAUGCCUGCUUAAUUCAAAUUGAACUAUGAGAAAAGGACCACUUAACAAAAGAAAAUCACUAAGAAUGAUUAAAGAUGGGCACCCCAAGACUAGGUCAAGUUCUCUGACGCUGCUCCUCCUCAGCAACGUUUUUGGUGUUGAAGUGUAGUUCUUUAGGAUAAAGAGUUAUUGCUGCUCUAUCCGAAAUUGAAGAUAAUUAAACUUGCUAAUUGUUUCAAGCAAAUUGCGUUUGAAAGUGUAUCUGUUACUGUUCAUAAUCACAACAGAUGAUAUUUUUUUAGACUAAUUUUAUAUGUUCUUUUUAUUGUCUGUCAUUUUAUGCUUUUGGAAACCUUGCAAGAUAGACAGUAUAUUUUAUGAACGAUUUUCUCGCGUAACGGUAAUUUACCACAAAGGCAAUUAUGACAACCAGCUUACAAUUUUUUUAUGAAUUCUUUAAAUGUCAAAAUAUUAUGAUCCAUCCGGCUUGCUAACGUACUUCAAAAGGCAAGCAUCUUUGUCGGUUUUCAAGUGACGUAUUAAAAAUUCCGGAUCUACCUAUUUGUAGGCACGUAAUGGGCUGUUGAAUGCUCGCCAAGGGUUAUGAUGCGUAGCCGCUCAAUAAAACGCCGUAAAACACAAAUGUGGUUUUUUUUCACCUUCAGUGGAGGGUUAAAGCAAAUUUAUACUACGCUUUUCGAGCCAUGGGAAAAAAGUUCUCAAAAAUUCUUGAUUGUGGGCGUAUUGGGAGGGGGUAAGCCUUUUUCAGAGUCACUGUUCCAUUCAAAUUCUGCCUGAAGUACUUUUCCUGACGGCGAAAUUCAUGGCGUAACGAAAUGAUCAACCGAACGUCUAUACUCUAGUGAAUCGAAAAUGUACUUCGAUUGAGCACCCCCUUGUAGAAAACUAAACACUCACUGGGACUGGGACUCUCCCUUUUUAGGUACUGUCGAUGGUUCCCUCUGAAGAAAAGGAUACUUUUAAAAGACAAUAUUGGCAUCUAGCAAGAAUUUUCAUUAUAGGUGAUUUUUGACUUAUUUGAGCGUGAAAAUAAAUGGAAAUAAUAUAUUAGCAUAAGCCAUUCAGCAAACAUUGUAAUAAGCCAGUUGAUCAUUUCUUAUUCAUUUUGGUGGUCUUACCUUACAGGUAGAGUUUGGUUACCUUUUCCUCAUUAUGAUCGUGAAUUUGACAUAGCUAGAGACAGAUGUUUUUUUGCGUAAACUGCGGUUUGCGGCUAGAUAUCAGUAUAUUUCCAUUAUGUUGCUAAGAAAUGUUCAAUUACCAAGAAAAUGACUUUACCUCAUAAAAAUUGAUCCCGUACAGGAAUUUCCUGGAAAUAACCCUCCCUUAUACUUUUACCUCUUUAAUACUCUCGUUUUUAGGCUAAAUCCACGUCGAAUUCCUGAUCCGGAAAAUAGUUUUUAAACUUUAAUUUAGCACGUUGGACACCUCUUUUUCUUAGAGGUGACUUAGGGUGUAAACAUGUAGUACUUUUCUUCGUCCACUAUGCAUCAUCAAAAUAUGGCAAUUAGGUUAGUUAUUUAGCGAUAUAAUACUUAUGGUGAAUGUUGAAUACUGCUGACUGACCUCUGAGGAUGUAAUACCAACAAUGGAAUCCUUUCAAGUCUUUAUCCUGGUCUGACAAGAGUCGUAUGCUCAAACUUCCGUUUCGACUGUCAGAGAUCGAUUGAAAACUCCGCAAUGUCUUUGUUUGACGGUAAAGGUGAGAGAAUUGCCCUCCAGUAUCUCCGUGUACUUGUGCGGGCGACCUUCUGUUUCUUCCAUGGCAAUUUCGUCGCAUACAAGAAGAUUUGCAUGGCAGGGUGAAGUUGUAUCGCCUGCACAGUCCAUAUAGUUGGGAUAGUUGUUAGGGUAAUUUGGCGUGGCAAUGACUCCACUGGUCUGAUUAAUGUGUACUUUACGUAAGCCUGUAAACAGAAAUAAGUAACCCAGAUAUUCUUGUAUCUACACAUUAGCUCCGAGAAUUUUAUGUUAAA